GGAUGACGAGGAGCUUGCUCCUCUGAUUCAGCGGCGGACGGGUGAGUAACACGUGGGCAACCUGCCUGUAAGACUGGGAUAACUCCGGGAAACCGGGGCUAAUACCGGAUAGGUGAUGUCUUCGCAUGAAGAGAUCAGGAAAGAUGGCUUCGGCUAUCACUUACAGAUGGGCCCGCGGCGCAUUAGCUAGUUGGUGAGGUAACGGCUCACCAAGGCGACGAUGCGUAGCCGACCUGAGAGGGUGAUCGGCCACACUGGGACUGAGACACGGCCCAGACUCCUACGGGAGGCAGCAGUAGGGAAUCUUCCGCAAUGGACGAAAGUCUGACGGAGCAACGCCGCGUGAGCGAAGAAGGUCUUCGGAUCGUAAAGCUCUGUUGUUAGGGAAGAACAAGUACCGUUCGAAUAGGGCGGUACCGUGACGGUACCUAACCAGAAAGCCACGGCUAACUACGUGCCAGCAGCCGCGGUAAUACGUAGGUGGCAAGCGUUGUCCGGAAUUAUUGGGCGUAAAGCGCGCGCAGGCGGCUUCUUAAGUCUGAUGUGAAAG
rnacentral:rRNA from 1 species